UACGUAGGGGGCUAGCGUUGUCCGGAAUUAUUGGGCGUAAAGCGCACGUAGGCGGUUCGUUAAGUCGGAUGUGAAAGCCCUCGGCUCAACUGAGGAAGUGCACCCGAAACUGGCGAGCUUGAGUACGAAAGAGGAUCGCGGAAUUCCCGGUGUAGAGGUGAAAUUCGUAGAUAUCGGGAGGAACACCGGUGGCGAAGGCGGCGAUCUGGGUCGAUACUGACGCUGAGGUGCGAAAGCGUGGGGAGCAAACAGG
rnacentral:rRNA from 1 species